GACGAACGCUGGCGGCGUGCUUAACACAUGCAAGUCGAACGGAAAGGCCCUACUUUUGUGGGGUGCUCGAGUGGCGAACGGGUGCGUAACACGAGAGUAACCUGCCCUUGACUUUGGUAUGACUUCAGGAAACUGAGGCUAAUACCGGAUCGGAGCUCCUGCUGCAUGGUGGGGGUUGGAAAGUUUCGGCGGUUGGGGAUGGACUCGCGGCUUAUCAGCUAGCUGGUGGGGUAGUGGCUUACCAAGGCUUUUGCCGGUACCCGGCAUGAGAGGGUGACCGGCCACAUUGGGACUGAGAUACGGCGCAGACGCGUACGGGGGGCAGCAGUGGGGAACAUUGCGCAAUGGGAGGAAGCGUGAUGAAGCGACGCCGCGGGCGGGAUGACGGCCUUCGGGUUGUAAACCGCAUUCGCCUGUGACGAAGCGUGAGUGACGGUAAUGGGUAAAGAAGCACCGGCUAACUACGUG
rnacentral:rRNA from 1 species